AUCAAACACACACAUUCAUUACAGGAAAAACACACACACCUCUCAACCACCGCCAGCCAUCAUCACCGCCCCUUUUUUCCGUCAACAUCUUAGAUCUGAGAUCAUCUCAUUCAACCAUCACUUUCGCUAGAGACCUAAUCGGAAAACCACCACCUCCGUGUGCAAAUCGAAAUGGACACAACCACCGUCGCCAACAAACAUCGUCGCUGUCAUCUCAAAUUCUACUUCAUCUUCAUCGUAAAAUAAAAUUAAAUUACAUAUCCGUCAUCUUCAAUGUGAAUAUUAGAGUAGAUUUGUACAGAUUGUGAUCGAAGAAUUUGUACAGAAACUUCUUAGAGUUGAUUCGGAGCGAAUUCGACGGCAGAUGCAGGAAGUUGCGGUGAAUAACUAUCGCGCAUUCAUCUCUGCUGCCGAUUGAAGUCUCGCCAAUUGAUAAACACCUGCAAUCUAUGGGAGAGGUAAAACACUAUUUUCAAUGACACUAUAGCAAAAGAGAGUGGAAUGCCAUUUGUGUUCGUGUGAAGUGCAGAGUUCCUAAAUAGUAAAAAAGUGGUGCUUUACAGAUAAAUCAAAUGUUCGGCAUCGUGAAGUGAAAUUCUGAGAGGGGAUUAAAGAUUAAGCUUGGAAAGAAUGUCAAACCAAAGGAUGGGAAAGGGCUGGAUAAGGAGAAUCCGGUGGAGUUGAAGUAAUUCUAAUGUCAAACAUUUCUUAUGACUGUCAAACAAUACUAGAAUCUGCAGUAACGAGCAUUAACGGAUAAUGCUUCAGUUGGUUAAUUUUUGUAUAUGUAUGGUGCAAUGAAGUAAUUGGAAACUACUUUAUGUAAAUAACCAGUUUAUUGUUGCUUUA